UGAUUUAUCGCAUUCUGUUAUGACAGAUAGUCUGUAAUUAUUUUGAAAUAUGUAAUACUGAAACUAACUGAUGUGUAGGGCUGGAUGCGUACUUGAUACCUUAUACGGUGGGUUGGGAUUGCCGAAGAUGAUGUGUAGCGGAUGGGGGUAGGAAAUUACAUCAAAUUCUAUUUUGCAUCUAUGUCUUAUCUAUUUUUUAUUUU
rnacentral:lncRNA from 1 species